rnacentral:rRNA from 1 species
AUUGAACGCUGGCGGAAUGCUUUACACAUGCAAGUCGAACGGCAGCACGGGGGCAACCCUGGUGGCGAGUGGCGAACGGGUGAGUAAUACAUCGGAACGUGCCCAGUCGUGGGGGAUAACGUAGCGAAAGUUACGCUAAUACCGCAUACGAUCUACGGAUGAAAGCGGGGGACCGUAAGGCCUCGAGCGAUUGGAGCGGCGGAUGUCAGAUUAGGUAGUUGGUGCGGUAAAGGCUCACCAAGCCUACGAUCUGUAGCUGGUCUGAGAGGACGACCAGCCACACUGGGACUGAGACACGGCCCAGACUCCUACGGGAGGCAGCAGUGGGGAAUGUUGGACAAUGGGCGCAAGCCUGAUCCAGCCAUUCCGCGUGCAGGACGAAGGCCUUCGGGUUGUAAACUGCUUUUGUACGGAACGAAAAGGCUCUGGUUAAUACCUGGGGCUCAUGACGGUACCGUAAGAAUAAGCACCGGCUAACUACGUGCCAGCAGCCGCGGUAA